rnacentral:piRNA from 1 species
UAGCUUUUCAUUGUCGUGUAAGA